UCGGAUAUGGUGUAACGGCUAACAUUGCCGCCUCUCAUUGUCCUGCAUCCAUUGAUUCGCGGUAGCUCGGGGUUCGAUUUCCCGUAUCCAAA